ensembl:antisense Gm16191 predicted gene 16191
GCUACCUCAGCCUGAGAACCUGAACUUGGCCUUACUGAGAAAUGGCACUUGCUCAGACCUGCUGGGAAUUCAAGGGUCACAACAGUAGCCAGGGGACUUUCCAGCAAAUGGUUGUUCCAGAAAAAUCUCAGCAGCACCUGGCCUCUCACGAACACCAGCGCCACAAAAGGAGCCAGCACAUCUCCGACUUCCUGUGCAAGAUGCUGUGUGGAAAGACAGCGUUUUUUUUUUUCGUUAAGAUGCCAACUUGGGGCUGGCGAGAUGUCUCUGCAGGGAAAGGCGCUUGCCAGGAAGCCUAACGACCCGAGGUCGUGAGCUGGUGGGAGAGACCCAACUCCGCAAGUCAGCCUCUGACCUCCACAUUCAGAAACUCCCUGAGGCCAGGCUUUGGGUCCCUUUGAGAUCACGGGUCACACAAGGGUGGCACACAGCAGGUGCUCCUUCAUGAGAGAUGACUGGAUGAGCUGGUGACCAGAUCAAUUCCUGGG